CACUCCUACGGGAGGCAGCAGUGGGGAAUUUUGGACAAUGGGCGAAAGCCUGAUCCAGCAAUGCCGCGUGAGUGAAGAAGGCCUUCGGGUUGUAAAGCUCUUUUGUCAGGGAAGAAACGGUGAGAGCUAAUAUCUCUUGCUAAUGACGGUACCUGAAGAAUAAGCACCGGCUAACUACGUGCCAGCAGCCGCGGUAAUACGUAGGGUGCAAGCGUUAAUCGGAAUUACUGGGCGUAAAGCGUGCGCAGGCGGUUUUGUAAGUCUGAUGUGAAAUCCCCGGGCUCAACCUGGGAAUUGCAUUGGAGACUGCAAGGCUAGAAUCUGGCAGAGGGGGGUAGAAUUCCACGUGUAGCAGUGAAAUGCGUAGAUAUGUGGAGGAACACCGAUGGCGAAGGCAGCCCCCUGGGUCAAGAUUGACGCUCAUGCACGAAAGCGUGGGGAGCAAACAGGAUUAGAAACCCGUGUAGUCCCAUG
rnacentral:rRNA from 1 species